rnacentral:rRNA from 1 species
UACGCUGGCGGCACGCCUAACACAUGCAAGUCGAACGAAGUAGCAAUACUUAGUGGCAGACGGGUGAGUAACAUGUAGGUAUCUACCCUAUGGUUUGGAAUAACACGAGGAAACUUGUGCUAAUACCAAAUAAGUCUUUACGGAGAAAGCUUUAUGCGCCAUUGGAUGAGCCUGCACUUGAUUAGUUUGUUGGUGGGGUAAUGGCCUACCAAGACAAUGAUCAAUAGCUGAUUUGAGAGGAUGAUCAGCCACAUUGGGACUGAGACACGGCCCAAACUCCUACGGGAGGCAGCAGUGGGGAAUCUUGCACAAUGGGGGAAACCCUGAUGCAGCGAUGCCGCGUGAGUGAAGAAGGCCUUUGGGUUGUAAAGCUCUUUCGUCGGGGAAGAAAAUGACUGUACCCGAAUAAGA